rnacentral:RNase_P_RNA from 2 species
GUGAUGAGUCGCUCCACCGCGGCGCCUCAAGGCGACGAGGAAAGUCCGGGCAACACAGAGCACCCUGCUUCCUAACGGGAAGGACCGGGCGGCGCGAGCUUCCCGGGACAGCCAGUGCCACAGAAAAUACCGCCUACGUUGCCUUCGGGCAGCCGGUAAGGGUGAAAAGGUGCGGUAAGAGCGCACCAGCGGCUGGGCAACCAGUCCGGCUGGGUAAACCUCAGGGGUUGAAAGACCAAAUAAGCUGGCACGCGCCCCGUGAGGGCGCACCGGGCGGCUCGUCCGGCGCCAGCGGGUAGGUUGAUGGAGCCUUUCCGCGAGGACUGGCCUAGAUAAAUGGUGGAGGCGCUACCCUUCGGGGUGGCGUACAAAACCCGGCUUACAGACUCAUCACCCCG